AGAAUCAACGCUGGCGGCGUGCCUAACACAUGCAAGUCGCACGAGAAAGGGGAGCAAUCCCUGAGUACAGUGGCGCACGGGUGAGUAACACGUGAAUAAUCUACCUCCGACGUGGGGAAGGUAACUAGAGAGAAAUACUUAGUACUAAUAACCGCCAUAACAACUUACCGAGGUCAAAGCAGCAAUGCGCUUGGAGAGGAGUUCGCGGCAGAUUAGUUAGUUGGCGGGGUAAUGGCCCACCAAGACGAUGAUCUGUAUCCGGCCCUGAGAGGGCGCACGGACACACUGGAACUGAAACACGGUCCAGACUCCUACGGGAGGCAGCAGUGGGGAAUUUUGCGCAAUGGGGGAAACCCUGACGCAGCAACGCCGCGUGGAGGAUGAAGCCCCGUUGGGGUGUAAACUCCUUUCGAUCGGGAAGAUAAUGACGGUACCGAUAUAAGAAGCCCCGGCUAACUUCGUGCCAGCAGCCGC
rnacentral:rRNA from 1 species